rnacentral:rRNA from 1 species
GCACAAGCGGCGGAGCAUGCGGAUUAAUUCGAUGCAACGCGAAGAACCUUACCAAGGCUUGACAUACACCGGUAACGCCCAGAGAUGGGUGCCCCUUUGUGGUCGGUGGACAGGUGGUGCAUGGUUGUCGUCAGCUCGUGUCGUGAGAUGUUGGGUUAAGUCCCGCAACGAGCGCAACCCUCGUCCUAUGUUGCCAGCGGGUCAUGCCGGGGACUCAUGGGAGACUGCCGGGGUCAACUCGGAGGAAGGUGGGAUGACGUCAAAUCAUCAUGCCCCUUAUGUCUUGGGCUUCACGCAUGCUACAAUGGCCGGUACAAAGGGCUGCGAUACCGCGAGGUGGAGCGAAUCCCAGAAAGCCGGUCUCAGUUCGGAUUGGGGUCUGCAACUCGACCCCAUGAAGUCGGAGUCGCUAGUAAUCGCAGAUCAGCAACGCUGCGGUGAAUACGUUCCCGGGCCUU